rnacentral:rRNA from 1 species
GAUGAACGCUGGCGGCGUGCCUAAUACAUGCAAGUCGAGCGAACAGACGAUGAGCGUUCUCCUCUGACGUUAGCGGCGGACGGGUGAGUAACACGUGGAUAACCUACCUAUAAUACUGGGAUAACUUCGGGAAACCGGAGCCAAUACCGGCUAAUAUAUUGAACCGCAUGGAUCAAUAGUGAAAGACGGUUUUGCUGUCACUAAUAGAUGAAUCCGCGCCGCAUUAGCUAGUUGGUAAGGUAACGGCUUACCAAGGCAACGAUGCGUAGCUGAUCUGAGAGGGUGAUCAGCCACACUGGAACUGAGACACGGUCCAGACUCCUACGGGAGGCAGCAGUAGGGAAUAUUCCGCAAUGGGCGAAAGCCUGACGGAGCAACGCCGCGUGAGUGAUGAAGGUCUCCGGAUUGUAAAACUCUGUUAUUAGGGAAGAAAAAAUGUGUAAGUAAAUAUGCACGUCUUGACGGUACCUAAAGAGAAAGCAACGGCUAACUUCGUG